UACAGAGGUCUCAAGCGUUGUUCGGAUUCAUUGGGCGUAAAGGGUGCGUAGGUGGCGCCGUAAGUCAGGUGUGGAAUUUCGGAGCUCAACUCCGAAACUGCAUUUGAUACUGCGGUGCUUGAGGACUGGAGAGGAGACUGGAAUUCACGGUGUAGCAGUGAAAUGCGUAGAUAUCGUGAGGAAGACCAGUGGCGAAGGCGGGUCUCUGGACAGUUCCUGACACUGAGGCACGAAGGCCAGGGGAGCAAACGGG
rnacentral:rRNA from 1 species